rnacentral:rRNA from 1 species
GGUCAAGCUACAAAGGGCUCAUGGCGGAUACCUUGGCACACAGAGGCGAUGAAGGACGUGGUUACCUGCGAUAUGUCUCGGGGAGCUGGAUACACGCUUUGAUCCGGGAAUUUCCGAAUGGGGCAACCCUUAGAACGGCCAGCUGAAUACAUAGGCUGGCGCGAGCCAACCCAGCGAAUUGAAACAUCUUA